rnacentral:rRNA from 1 species
UAGAGUUUGAUCAUGGCUCAGGACGAACGCUGGCGGCGCGCUUAACACAUGCAAGUCGAGCGAGAACCAAGCCUUCGGGCUUGGGGAAAGCGGCGAACGGGUGAGUAACACGUGGGCAACCCACCCUUGGUAUCCGGAUAGCCCGAGGAAACUCGGAUUAAUACGGAAUGGCCCAACAGCUCUUCGGGGCGGUUGGAAAAGGUAGCUUCGGCCUCCGACCAAGGACGGGCCCGCGGCGGAUUAGCUUGUUGGUGGGGUAAUGGCCCACCAAGGCGACGAUCGGUAGCUGGUCUGAGAGGAUGAUCAGCCACACUGGGACUGAGACACGGCCCAGACUCCUACGGGAGGCAGCAGCGGGGAAUCUUGCGCAAUGCGCGAAAGCGUGACGCAGCAACGCCGCGUGUGGGAAGACGGCCUUCGGGUUGUAAAGCUCUGUCACCUGGGACGAAAACACUGACGGUUAAUAGCCGUCGGAAUUGACGGUACCAGGGGAGGAAGCACCGGCUAACUUCGUGCCAGCAGCCGCGGUAAU